GAUGAACGCUAGCGGCAGGCUUAAUACAUGCAAGUCGAGGGGCAGCACAUGAGUAGCAAUACGAUGGUGGCGACCGGCGCACGGGUGCGUAACGCGUAUGCAAUCUACCUUUAACAGAGGGAUAGCCCCGAGAAAUCGGGAUUAAUACCUCAUAAAAUUUUCACAUGGCAUCAUGAGAGAAUCAAAGCUGAGGCGGUUAAAGAUGAGCAUGCGUGACAUUAGCUAGUUGGAGAGGUAACGGCUCACCAAGGCGACGAUGUCUAGGGGUUCUGAGAGGAUGAUCCCCCACACUGGUACUGAGACACGGACCAGACUCCUACGGGAGGCAGCAGUAAGGAAUAUUGGUCAAUGGGCGGGAGCCUGAACCAGCCAUGCCGCGUGCAGGAAGACGGCCUUAUGGGUUGUAAACUGCUUUUAUCGGGGAAUAAAACUUCUACGCGUAGAGAGCUGAAGGUAACCGAACGAAUAAGCAUCGGCUAACUCCG
rnacentral:rRNA from 1 species